GGAAACUUGGAAACUACCGUUGGAUCGAGAAAUGGAUGUCCGAGAUUCGUCCACGUCACCAUGAGUUAAAAUUUAACUCCCAGAUUGAAUCUGGGAGUUAAAUUUUAACUCAUGGUGACGUGGACGAAUCUCGGACGUCCAUUUCUCGAUCCAAUGGUAGUUUCCAAGUUUCC
rnacentral:pre_miRNA from 1 species